rnacentral:rRNA from 1 species
CAUGCAGUCGAGCGCGGGAAGCGAGCUGAUCCCUUCGGGGUGACGCUCGUGGAACGAGCGGCGGACGGGUGAGUAACACGUGGGCAACCUGCCUGUAAGAUCGGGAUAACUCCGGGAAACCGGGGCUAAUACCGGGUAAUACUUUCUUUCGCAUGAAGGAAAGUUGAAAGAUGGCUUCUCGCUAUCACUUACAGAUGGGCCCGCGGCGCAUUAGCUAGUUGGUGAGGUAACGGCUCACCAAGGCGACGAUGCGUAGCCGACCUGAGAGGGUGAUCGGCCACACUGGGACUGAGACACGGCCCAGACUCCUACGGGAGGCAGCAGUAGGGAAUCUUCCGCAAUGGACGAAAGUCUGACGGAGCAACGCCGCGUGAACGAUGAAGGUCUUCGGAUCGUAAAGUUCUGUUGUUAGGGAAGAACAAGUACCGUGCGAAUAGAGCGGUACCUUGACGGUACCUAACGAGGAAGCCCCGGCUAACUACGUGCCAGCAGCCGCGGUAAUACGUAGGGGGCAAGCGUUGUCCGGAAUUAUUGGGCGUAAAGCGCGCGCAGGCGGUUCCUUAAGUCUGAUGUGAAAGCCCACGGCUCAACCGUGGAGGGUCAUUGGAAACUGGGGAACUUGAGGACAGAAGAGGAGAGUGGAAUUCCACGUGUAGCGGUGAAAUGCGUAGAUAUGUGGAGGAACACCAGUGGCGAAGGCGACUCUCUGGUCUGUUUCUGACGCUGAGGUGCGA